UGGGGCCGGAUACUCAAAACAACCCGUAAGUUACAAGGUCGAGGACGUUGUAACCGCCUUACAACAUUGUAACUUACGAACUCCUUACAAUAUUGUAAGUGACCCAUACUCAAAAAAAAAUUACAAUGUUGUAAGCACAUUGUAAGGCUAAUGUCAACAUCGUAAGUUAAUUCCCUAGGCUGCCAAGAGAGGGCACCUCGGUAGGUGAUUGACCAAUCAGCAGUCAGCCUCGUAGACGUAACAGCCAAUGAGAAGCCACAAAUCUCAGCUGUUUUAUCACCGCACUACACCAAAGGUAAACAACGUCAUGGAAGGUCCAACUCAAAAGAAAAGAACACCAAAUUUCUCAGACGAAGAGAUGUUGGCUUUAAUAGAAGCCGUGGCAACGAAGAGAAAUGUGGUUCUGGGUAAAUCAAAUAACAGAAUAACCGCACAAGUGAAAAAUAACGCCUAGGAGAGUGUGACUAAGGAAGUGAGUCUUGUCGCUCGCGUACCGAGGAAUGUGAAUGUAGGGCGUAGGAAGUUCACAGACCUAAGAGCAGCUUGAAAAAAAAGGCAGCACAAGAGGAAAAACACAUGGGAGGAAUAGAUGUUGCAGAACCAACUCCUGCGCCAUCUGGGAUAGCAUCUCAGGUCAUAAGACUCGAAAGUUGUUGUAACAUUGGAUGAGGGCACUCCAGAGGAGCAAGAAAUGACAAUAUCCAUUGUGUCAAUGGACCACACUUACUCUUCAGAAUUACCUCCUUUUUUAAUAGAAGACAGUGACGCUCAGGAUGGAGGUAGCAGGCAUGGUCAUAGCAGAAGAUCAGAAGAAAGGAGAAUUUUGCCUGACAUGCUUCAGAUACAAGCAAAUAUAGAAAUUCACUUGAAACAGCUUGUAAGCUCAGUAAAAGACAUUGCAUCAGCAUUACAAACAAUUGCUGGUGUUAUAAAAGAUAAGGCAUAAGUUCUUAUUUUUAUCAAAUUAUGAAAUAUUUUAGUUUUUCUCCCAUUCAAUUCUAGUCUUAAUCUACCCAUUUAUAGUACACAGUUGACAUUAAUUUGUGAUAGGCAUUUGUACAUUUAA